rnacentral:tRNA from 1 species
GUUUUAUUAUAUAACCUCUUAAAAUUUUAGAUUUGCAAUCUAAUGUAUUUUUAAAACU